AUAUUAUUUAAUUUAUUUCACAUAAAAUUAAGAAAGAAACUAGGAUUAGAUACCCUAUUAUCCUUGAAAUUUUAUAAUUCUAAAGUAGUAAGAUUGAAACUUAAAAAUUUUGACAGUAUUUAAUUUUCUAAAGGAAUAUGUAAUUUUAUCGAAAAUACACGAAAAUCUUACUUAUUUUAUUUUUGUAUAUCUCCGUUGACAGAUUUUUAUAAAAAUAAAAAUAAUUUUCUAAAAAUAAAAUAUUUAACAUCAGGUCAAGGUGCAAUAUAAAUAAGUUAUUAUGUAUUACAAUCAAAUUUAUUGAAAUGAAUAAAUAAUUGAAACCAUUAUUUUAAAAAUGAAUUUAUAAGUAAAAUAAAAAAUUAAUUUUAUUUGAAAUAUUAUUGAAU
rnacentral:rRNA from 1 species